AUGGCUCGGUGGAGGGAAUACCUUUGUACAAUUGCAGAUUAGUGAUUUAUUUGUUUUUUUUUGUUUAAUUUUUCAAAUUUCAGUGCACACACUUCUGAAGAAUGGUCAGAACUGAAGGGGACAAAAUGGCCAGUUUUGGGUGCAUGUCAAUCGGCAUAUGGAAUUAUGAUCGAUAAGAAAAACAUAUAUCGCAUUGACGUUCCCCAUACUCUACUUCAUCUACUUUCUGUUCACAGCUCCUUUGGUUUUCAAUUCAAAAUACCUUGCCUGGUUCUACACUCCAAUGAUCUUUGACGAUGGAGCAACUGAAUAUUUCAAUCACUCUCAUACAAUCAACAACUUCCUGAUUGUUACCUUGACAUGCGUUGUCUACACUCCCUUCCGGUGGGUUAUUGGAUCAAACUUGAAAAAUGUGAAGAACGCUAACGCAUCUCAACUUCAAAAUACGAAAACCCAAGUGUUUCUCCAAUCAACCUUGAUCUGUGCAGCAAAUCAAGUAUGUGCAGUGAUCUACGUCGUAAUGAAUGUCACGGAAGUUCCAAAUUGGCUCAUAAUGUUUGCUCAUUUCACUUGGGAAUUCAUUCAUGGUGCUCCUGUCUUCAUCUAUCUUGCUCUGAAUCGAAUGAUUCGUGAAAGAUUCUUGGAAAAAAUGCACUGGAUGAAAGGUGGAGCACUUCGAGAAACCACAUCAAUGAUGCCUAUUAAGAAAUCCGUUUCGACUCCAGUCGUGAUUAUAAAUUAA
rnacentral:misc_RNA from 1 species